rnacentral:rRNA from 1 species
GAUGAACGCUGGCGGCGUGCCUAAUACAUGCAAGUCGAGCGAACAGACGAGGAGCUUGCUCCUCUGACGUUAGCGGCGGACGGGUGAGUAACACGUGGAUAACCUACCUAUAAGACUGGGAUAACUUCGGGAAACCGGAGCUAAUACCGGAUAAUAUAUUGAACCGCAUGGUUCAAUAGUGAAAGACGGUUUUGCUGUCACUUAUAGAUGGAUCCGCGCCGCAUUAGCUAGUUGGUAAGGUAACGGCUUACCAAGGCAACGAUGCGUAGCCGACCUGAGAGGGGGAUCGGCCACAAUGGAACUGAGACACGGUCCAGAAUCCUAAGGGAGGCAGCAGUAGGGAAUCUUCCGCAAUGGGCGAAAGCCUGACGGAGCAACGCCGCGUGAGUGAUGAAGGUCUUCGGAUCGUAAAACUCUGUUAUUAGGGAAGAACAAAUGUGUAAGUAACUAUGCACGUCUUGACGGUACCUAAUCAGAAAGCCACGGCUAACUACGUG